UGUCAGAUUCACAGACCUCGCUCCCUAAA
rnacentral:piRNA from 1 species